GAUGAACGCUGGCGGCGUGCCUAAUACAUGCAAGUCGAGCGAAUGGAUUAAGAGCUUGCUCUUAUGAAGUUAGCGGCGGACGGGUGAGUAACACGUGGGUAACCUGCCCAUAAGACUGGGAUAAUUCCGGGAAACCGGGGCUAAUACCGGAUAACAUUUUGAACCGCAUGGUUCGAAAUUGAAAGGCGGCUUCGGCUGUCACUUAUGGAUGGACCCGCGUCGCAUUAGCUAGUUGGUGAGGUAACGGCUCACCAAGGCAACGAUGCGUAGCCGACCUGAGAGGGUGAUCGGCCACACUGGGACUGAGACACGGCCCAGACUCCUACGGGAGGUAGCAGUAGGGAAUCUUCCGCAAUGGACGAAAGUCUGACGGAGCAACGCCGCGUGAGUGAUGAAGGCUUUCGGGUCGUAAAACUCUGUUGUUAGGGAAGAACAAGUGCUAGCUGAAUAAGCUGGCACCUUGACGGUACCUAACCAGAAAGCCACGGCUAACUACGUGCCAGCCGCCGCAGUAA
rnacentral:rRNA from 1 species